UUGUUGCGCCUGCUGACCACUAGGGCGGCAGUAUAUAAGUGCGGCCUUCCUUCUCGCGCUCCCACUGCUGCAUCAUUUCCGGGUCAGGUGUCUGUCUGUGCAGAGCAGCGACCGAGUGCUCCGUGUGGCGUUCUCCAUUUUUAUUUCCUGGUUCCCUUGAGCGGUGGUAGAUGUCUGCUGUCGUGUGGGUCUUUCUCUCCCUCCCUCUCGCUGUGCAGGUUUGACUUUGAAAACAGGGAAUGCUCAUCAGCUGGCCGAAGUCUACCGGUGGUGAUUGAGGUGAUU